rnacentral:rRNA from 1 species
GAUGAACGCUGGCGGCGUGCCUAACACAUGCAAGUCGAACGGAAAGGCCCUGCUUUUGUUGGUUUCUCGAUUGCCGAACGCGUGAGUAACACGUGAGUAUCCUGCCCUUGACUUUCGGAUAACUUCACGAAACUGCGGCUAAUAUCGGAUAGGAUCUCCUGCUCCAUGGUGGGGGUUGGAAAGUUUCGGCGGUUGGGGAUGGACUCGCGGCUUAUCAGCUUGUUGGUGGGGUAGUGGCUUACCAAGGCUUUGACGGGUAGCCGGCCUGAGAGGGUGACCGGCCACAUGGGGACUGAGAUACGGCCCAGACUCCUACGGGAGGCAGCAGUGGGGAAUAUUGCACAAUGGGCGGAAGCCUGAUGCAGCAACGCCGCGUGCGGGAUGACGGCCUUCGGGUUGUAAACCGCUUUCGCCUGUGACGAAGCGUGAGUGACGGUAAUGGGUAAAGAAGCACCGGCUAACUACGUG